GGGUAAGGAGGAGCCCUGGGAGCUGGGAGAGUCAGGGCUUCUGACUUCAGAGCCAGCUUUCAGAUUCCCACUCACCUGCAGCUUGGAGACACUGACAGCUACUUGAGUCAACAGUGGAGAAGACAGCAGGCAUAUGAGAUAUCUCCAGCAUGAAUUCUGGGUAAUCCCAGAGGGCAGGAGGCACCUGGAAAGAUUUCCUGCAGGAAGCCUGGGAGACCAGAGAGUGCAGCAUCUUCAGAUCAGUGAAUAGUUGUUCAUCGCCUCCCAUGUACAAAGUACUUCUUGAGAUACAUCGUUGUUGUCGUCCUUCGUUCUCGAAGAGGACCACGAAGUCAGGGAGGUGAUGC